rnacentral:lncRNA from 1 species
CACAAACACUGCGAAAGGCCGCAGGGUCCUCUGCCUAGGAAAACCAGAGACCUUUGUUCACUUGUUUGUCUGCUGACCUUCCCUCUACUGUUGUCCUAUGACCCUGCCAAAUCCCCCUCUGCGAGAAACACCCAAGAAUGAUCAAAAAAAAAAAAUAUAUAUAUGUAUACAUAUUUAUAUAUUAGUAUAUAUGUAUAUAUAUAUAUACACACAUAUAUAUAUAUAUAUAUUAGUCAGGCAAUCCCAGCACUUUGGGAGGCUGAGACGGGCGGAUCAUGAGGUCAGGAGAUCGAGACCAUCCUGGCUAACACGGUGGAACCCCCGUCUCUACUAAAAAAUACAAAAAAAUUAGCUGGGCGUGGUGGCGGGUGCCUGUAGUCCCAGCUACUCAGGAGGCUGAGGCAGGAGAAUGGCGUGAACCUGGGAGGCGGAGCUUGCAGUGAGCUGAGAUCGUGCCACUGCACUCUAGCCUGGGCGACAGAGCGAGACUCCGUCUCAAAAAAAAAAAAAAAAAAUAGGCAUGGUGGCACUGCCUGUACUCCCAGCUACUGGGGAGGCUGAGGUAGGAGGAUUGAUUGAGCCCAGGAGGUGGAGGUUUAGUGACCCGAGAUUGCACCAUUGUACUCCCAGCCUGGGCGACAGAGUGAGACCCUGUCUAAAACAAAACAAAACAAAACAAAACAAAACUCCAAAACACCAGUCACAAAAAACAAAAGUUUUUUGAGUUCAGAGCUCUUAUCUUUAACUAAGUUUAGACAUCCCUCCCUCAAGGUAAUUCUCCUUCUAAUCCCAAAAUAACAGAAACAUGGAAUUAGGUUAAGACUACUGGCUAAAGAAAUUUAUUUCUUCACGCCAUUAUUUUCAUUAAUAGGCAUUCUAGAAUUUUAAGGUACUUAUUGUUUUCUGUCUUAACAUACAUAUCAACAUUCAUAGAUGUAACUUACCCUUAUGAGCAUACUUACGUUUUGAAAAAUCUCUUCUUCACCUUCAAAUUGUGGAGAAACGAAGCACUUAAAUAAUUCAUAAUUUCCAUUGAAGCUAGUGCUACUUCCUAACUAUGGACCACGUUAUAGACAGGGUAGGUGGCAGUUUACAUAUAUUUCCUACAGAAUUAUCUGUAACUAUAACUUUUCAUCUCUAAUUUGGAAAAAAUAACAAAUUCCAAGGAAUAAUAAUAAUAAUAUAUUGAUAGGGACUAUCUUGGGUAUACAGUAAUUUAUGUAUAAAAUAUCAUACAUAAAUGUUGGUAUUUUAUUAUUUGUAAUAGAUUACUUACAAGUCACCUCUCAGUUGGUUAAAAUGCAAUCAUACAUGACUUUAUGGUUGAGUAUGGUUGGUCUAACAUGACAUUGUAAUGAACUAUAACCUGUGUAGCCACUGUAAAGACUUUUUAUUGUUGUUGUUGUCACCAAGACUGGAGUGCAGUGGCGUGAUCUCAGCUUACUGCAACCGCCACCUCCUGAGUUCAAGCAAUUCUUUUGCCUCAGCCUCCUGAGUACGUAGGAUUACAGGUCCCCACCACCAUGUCUGGUUAAUUUUUGUAUUUUUAGUAGAGACGGGGUUUUGCCAUGUUAGCCAGGCUGGUCUCGAACUCCUGACCUCAGGUGAUCCACCUGCCUCAGCCUCCCAAAGUGCUGGGAUUAGAGGUGUGAGCCACCACGCCCAGCCUUGUAAAGACGUUUUAACCCUCUGACAGUGAAGACAAUGAGGGGACCUUGAAAUUGUUUUUGAAUGUCUGAUUUCUUUUCUUUUCUUUUUUUGAGGCAGAGUCUCACUCUAUUGCCCAGGAUGGAGUGCAGUGGCACAAUCACAGCUUACUAUAGUGUAGAACUUCUGGGCUCAAGCAAUUCUCUCACCUCAGCCUCCCAAGUAGCUGGGACCACUGGCAUGUGCCGCCAUGCCUGGGUAAUUUUUAAAUUUUUUGUAGAAACAAGCUUUUGUUGUGAUGCCCAGGCUGGUCUCAAACUCCUGGACUCAACAGUUCUCUUGCCUCAGCCUACCAAAGUGCUGGGGUUAUAAGUGUGAGCUACUGUGCCCAGCCCAUUUUCUUACAAGGACCUGAAUAUCAGCUCUUUGCCAAGUCAAAUGGUUUCAUUCCACAGUUGCAGUACAUUGGCCCCGUUCAGUUGGAAGUAGCCAGUUGAGAGAAAAUGUCCCAGUGU